AAUUCUGGGUGCCACAGAGAAUGGCAUGUGGUGCCUCUAGACUUCUCCAUGGAAGAUUUCUUUUUCAGAGAUCUGAGAAAGCCUUGGUCUGACAGCAGAGGGAAUCUCAAAUGCCUCGCCGUAGCCACGUAACAACUGGACAUCCCUGGACAUGGUUCCGAGAUGAAAAGGUGAAGAAAGUGUUAAAAUGACUAAGCAAAUGCAUACGAGGCCUGGUUCCUGUACUGGAAGGACUGAUUCCCUUAUCUGUGGAGCAGUGAUGGAUGCCAUUCAGCUGCUGCCUUGUCCAUGUCCCCUGUGGAGUGGCAGCUGAGAGAAAAUGCAUUCUGGGUGCAGAAUGUCAACAGAAUGAUGAGCAUGGGGCAUGUGUGGUCUGCUGCGCUACGGUAAAUUCAUAUUAGCUAUACUCUCUCUGCCUGCCAAAAUUUUGAGAUAGUUGUUGAAAAGAAGAAGAUGAAGAAGGAAGAGGAGGAGAAGGAAGAAUAGGAAGAGGUGAAA